rnacentral:lncRNA from 1 species
CUUCUCUCUGCCCGUCUCUGCUUCCCCCCCCUUCCCCCCCCCCUUUUCUCCCGGCCGACGGAGCUGAAGGGGCGGGGGUUCCUUCCUUGGAGUGUUUCUAGAGCUCGGAGGCUGCUGGUAGGGGGAAGUUGUACCCGUCAGCACCUGCUGAGGGCUUUGUUGUCCAAACCCUGACAGGUAAAAAAAUUCCUGCAGAAUAAAGCCAGACCAGCUGGCUUUGAAGAGAAACCCCCCAGUUUGGGCUGCGUUUGCCUCCUCUCCUUUUCUAUGAAGACCGAGGCUUUGCCCCCUUGAUCGUCAAGCCGUGAGAUGCGUGAUCUCUCUGCACAAGUGUCUGGCAGGCCGAGGUGCACCUGUUUCUGUCACUCUGGAGUAAAUUUAGCUGUAAAGGUAUCACUGACAACCAGACCUUUGUCAGUGCUGGCAAAAGAACACAGAAUUGCUUCCCUCCCCUCCCCCCUCCCGACCCCCUAUGCUGCUAGUUCCAAUGGAAAAUAUCCAAUCGGAAGUCUAUCCAAAAAUCAUUCCUAAAAAAUGAAAUUGCUUUCAUAUGGUAUAAAAAAGUAAGUUUCCUCAUUUCAAGCAGAUUUUAAAAUUACAUUUCCAAGAAUAAUCUUGGAACAAGACAAGUUUUCGUUCAAUUAAUUGUGGCUGGAAACUUUUUAAUGGAAACAUAGCACAUACUUACUUCAUUUCAGGUUAUUAAAUUGUGUUAAGCAUAAAAGUUAUUUGCCAUUCUUUGUUGCAGCUCAUUUGUUCUUUUCGAUUCUAAGAAAUAUUAGAAGGUUAAAUAACUUAUCACAUAGGAGAGAUUAUUCAUACUACCAAAAUUAGAAUGUGUGUAGUUCUGAGGGACUGAAUGUCAAAAUUGUAUGCUCAUAGCACUAAAACUAUUGGGAAUCUAGGAUGCCACUGGAACAUGUAAAAUGGCAGCUAAGGUCUAUGGAAACCCUUCAUGUUUAGAAACUGGCUAAAGCUUGAGUUCUCUUAUCUUUUGGUUAAGGUAAGGACGUUUAUCAUUUAUGUGAAUGUUUUAGACUAAUUUCUUUAUUAGUGGUUUGAGCAAUAUUCCUUUUGAGGAAAAUAGAGAGGCAGGCAAUAUUCAUUAAUAUGUCUGACAUAAAUAAAAUAGUCAAGAUAUAUAAAGCAGCCCAAGGAGUAACAUCCUUAGGCACCACUUUCAGAUAAAAACAUAGACCUGAAUGGCAUCAUCCAGUAUCCAAGGAAACCAUGCUUGCUUGAAGAGUGAGCAGGUGAGCAAAGAGACAAGAUUACAUGUUUAAACCAAGAAAAGAAUCUUGAAAGUUCUCUAAACAUGAAUAUGCCUUUGGGGGAAGACAGAAGAACAUGGAAGCCAUGUGAAAAAAACGGAUCCUAAGGCAGUUUUGAACAUCUGGAGGCCUGAUUUAUUGGAGAUUGCAAAUGUACAGUGUAACAUAGCUGUGGAGAGCGAGAAGAUCAGGAUUGUCAAUGCUGUCAUUGCUUUUACUGGAAUCCCCAGCACGAAUUGAAGGUCUCACUUUGCCACCUAGGCUGGAUGCAAUGCAACGGUAUGUUGAUCUUGGUUCACUGCAGCCUCAACCUCCUGAGCUCAUGUGAUCCUCCCACCUCAGUCCCCCACGUCGCUUGGAUUACAGGCCUGUGCCACCACACCUGGCUAACUUUUUUUGUAAUUUUUGUAGAGACAGGGUCUCACUAUGUUUCCCAUGCUGGUCUUUAAUGCCUGAGCUCAAGCCAUCCGCCUGCCUCGGCCUCCCAAAUUGCUGGGAUUACAGGCAUGAGCCACCAUGCCCAGCCUAAUUCUUCUAAAUCUUAUCCUAGUAAUUAAGCCAGAAUUUUUCUCUGCCAAGACCAAUAGAUGGACCAAGAAGUACUCAUCCUUGUAAACUUUCUUUGGAUAAAUUGCUUACAUAUAAUAAAUUCAGAGUUAAGUAAUAAAAAUAAUGAACUACUGUCUUG